CUUUGGAGAGAGAGGAUGGACUGCUGCCUGAUGCAUGUGCUUGUGGGGGCCGAUGCAUCGUGCGUGCCCCACCUCCAUCGAUGCCGCGGCAGUUGGAGAGAGAGAUGGACUGGCGCCUACGACGCGCUGGUCGACGCCGCGGCCGCCGCAGCGGCCGCCGCCCUCCGCAAGCCCAGGUGCACAGUGGCGCUCACAGACCUCCACCGCUGCCUCGACGCCUUCAGCGAGUCCUGCGACCGAGCCGAGGGCCUCAUCCAGGAGGCCGCCACUGGCCUCGGCCCCGCCACCUCCCGUGAUGACGAGCUGUGUCGCACCGUGCACGCGGUCGACAAGGAACUCCGGGCCGCCACCGCCGGCCGGGAGGAGAACGGAUGGAAGAUGAGAAGAAUCGCCCUCCGACCACGCCAUUGGCAACCGAGUACAGAAGCACAAUCGAUCUAUCUCGUCUCUUGUUGAGGUGAUAUUCAUCCUUCUUGUUCCUCUUAUUUUCUUGGUUGAUGUGCUAAUCGUUUUAGUCAUCUAGAAGAUGAUUGAAAAACUGUGACGAGAAAGGAGAGAUGGACUCGGAUAUUUUGCCUCGUCGUGUCGCAUGGUGGCCGAGAUGCGGCAGCCCCAUGCUCUGUUGCGGUGGGCCUCCUCUGCUCGAUGGUUGCCGCUGGUUGAGUUUGGUACGGUUUCUUGUUGUCGCUUGCGGCGAGCCUUGUGUCCGUCUCUCCUUCUCAUUGAUACUACUUCUCCUGUCACUGGCGCUUCUUCUUCUCGUCCGUCAUGCUGCUUACCCAACGUGCUUCUGCUUGCUGCCUCGGGUUGUAUGAUCUUUUCUGUCGUCGCGUUGUUUGACUCAUCAAGGAUCAGUGCGUUCUCGACUUGUUGUGUCUCUGCAUUCUCUCUCAGUGGUCAUGUUGGUUCCUGAGCACCAUUGAUUCUUUAACAUUGAAGAAUCAGAUUUGGUGCUCAGACCUGAAAUUCAGAAAGAAAGAAAGAAGCAUUUGCUAGGUUCAACAAACGACGACCUUCGCUGCCAUUGUAAAAGGCCAUGCUGCACAAGUGUUUCGGGUUUCAAUUCAGGGAGGUGACACCUUGAUGAAAUAUUUGUUCUACAGUAGGCGUUGCUGAAGCUGGAGUCAUGAUGGCGUUAGUAACCUUGGUGGUGCUUCUUAUACGGCAAACCAACUGUCAGAUGUUGCAUAUAGGAGUAUUGUGGAGCUAAUAAUAUUUGAAUAUGAGCUAGCCUACUAUUUCAAUUUGAGUUCAAAAAUUACAAAUGUCAGUGUUUGUUUUCAGUUAUCAAUCUUCUUCCCUUCUCCUUUUUUGGGUCACUUUUGAUAGCUCCAUUCAUUCUGUACAUAUUAGUUGCCGCCUCAAGCCUUGGCUAUUUUCUAGACUAGGCCUCAAUUUGCUGGAAAAUGCAGUCUUCAUUUACUGAGUUAUAUUUUUGUCUUGCUUUCUUCCAGAUCCGUCAUACAGUAGUUUAGAAAAAAAUCUAUCCAAUGGUGAUGAUGCAUGAGGAGCAGCAAGGUCAUGAUCCAUGAAGCCCUAUGUUCUUUUCCUCACCGGCUCUUUCUAGAUUGCUCAGCAGGCGAUCAACGCGACACAUGUGGAGGCUAUGAGAGCUAUGAAUGGCAUCGGUCUUGUCAUUCUUAUGAGCAGGAGCACGGGCCACAUUACUCUUCAUGCCACUCUAAGCAGCCAGAGGUGUUGACUGCUGCUUGUAUCCUGAGAUUGAUAUCCAAGUUGAAGGGAAGGGAGACAUGGUUGAGUUCCUGUAUGAAAGGAUAAAGAAGAAGGGGCAUGCUGUCGUGGUUGUUGCUGAAGGCGUUGGUCAGGAGUUGAUUACCCGGAUUGAUGACCAGAGAGCAUGAUGUUCCUUGAUGUUGGCCUUCUUCUAUAAAGUUUACAUGCAAUUCUCCAUGGUUAAGAAAAACCAAUUUAAAUGUUUUGUUUCUUUGAUGGUUACUCAUUUCUCUUACCGUUGUUGUAUCAAAACAAUUGUAUUUUCGUUGAAGGCCACUUGGGAUCAUUUUUUAGGAGAAUGAGAUGUUCGAUAAACUACUCUGAAAUGUUUGGUUUGCUUCAAACAAUUUAUUAGCUAACUAAUUUUGGCUGUUGUUGCA